ACUUAUUGGACCCGGGGGCGGUACCCGGCGCCUCCACCAAAAUAUAAUGAAAAUUAUAUUUUGGUGGGGGCGAAAUAGGAUCGACAAGAGUGUAAAGAUUGCUCUUUUACUCGGCAUAGUACCACCGUUAUCGGACUAAAUGAGUAGUUGCAAAUGACAACUAUGCGGAAGCACGUCUCGCCGCUUAAGGUGGUGUGAAUGCUUCAAAUUAAGCCUUAAACCGUCGCAGGUUUAAGCGGGGUUCGAAGG
rnacentral:tmRNA from 1 species